GGGGGUGAACGAGUGGAAGGCGGGGGAAAAGGAGUGAACCAGUGUCCUAGCCGCCUGCUGGGAGGGGAUGGCGCAGCACCAACUGAUGGGUACCCCCUUUUGUCCCCACUCACUGCACCCCCCCAUCCCACUCCAGCUCAGGAGGCGGCCAUUCCCAGAGGAUGAAGAACCCCAGGAGCGGUGCGGGGGUGAGAUUGAGUUAGGAUCCUGAAUGAUGAUUCUGCUAUGCAUAUAAAAGUAUAAUUAUGACAACAUAUAUCAUAUUGAAGGAAUAAAUCACAGCGUGGAAGGCAAUGGCAGCUUGGAGUGAUCAGUGACAGGAAGUAGAGGUCAAUGAAUGCUUGGGACUUCAGCCUUUUUUUCCCCCUGUUUAUUCAUUCCAGAAUGUCAGCCUAUAGAAAUGAAGUUUUAGGAUAGGUUUUACCACCUCUAUUAACUCAACCUAGAAACUUCCUUGAACAUGCCUAGAAUGUAUUUCCUUAUUGAACUUAAAUCCCAGCAAGUUGAUACUCAUGAUUAAGGUUAACUAUCUCACUUAUCUCCCUCAGUGAUGCGAGGAUAUUCUAGUAUUCAUUAUUAAAUCAGGCUUUGCUAUUCACAGUGAGGGCACACUGCCUAGUAUCCCUUAUCUCCUUUCUCAUGCCCUGAAUUCAGUGCUGUAACAGAACUUUCUACUUCCCUCAGGAUUACAUUCUUGAUAAGACACAUUUCUAAGCAGAGUCAGUACAAAUACCUAGAUUAACGUCAGACAUUACCUUCUUAUUUUAAUUUUACUUUUUUGAACUAUGUAUUACUAUAUGAUUCUGGAGUGAAUCAACAUGCUGAUAGAUGUGCAGUUCAUCAUAAAAUAUAAAGAAUGUUACUCAAAGCUAUUCAUAAGACUUGAGCAAUGUAAAUAAAUUAAAAGCCACGAACCUAUCAAUUAUAAAUGAUUCUCCAAAAGGUGACCAUAAAGUUGUAACAAUAUUUGAACAAAUAGCAAUAAUAAGAAAGCACAAAUAAAAUGGAAGAGUAUGAAAUCACAAAGUUAUAAAGGUAUUAAGUAACAUAGGCUUUCAAGCAUCAUAUGUGUAUGAAUUAUUAAAAUUUCUACUUUCUUUACAGGUAUCAGUUAGAAAACAUAACAAAGAGAUAUCUGAAAAAGCAACAUUUUGAAAACACAUUUACAAGAUAAAGUAUGUAGUGGCUUUGAGGUAUCUCUCAGUCAAGUUUUUAAGUCAAACUUAAAAAAAAAAGAGGUAUAUCUACAAGCUUAGUUAAGAACAUCAAGAAUUACAUACUUUUAACCAAGUGCUGAAAAUUUCAUAAAAGACUAAGUGCUACUAAAAUAUUUAUUAGGUUAAAUUUUAUUUCUAACUUUAUGAUACAACAGUCUUUAUUCAAAUGUCUUUAUACACAGCCAGUUUUAAAAGUAACACAAAUGAAAAAAUUCUCAGAAAUUUCCUGAUUUACUAUAAAGACCUAUUUGGAUCUGAUAUAUAAUGUAGACCAACACAACUGUCAAAUAAAUUAUAUUUUUACAUUACAUUUACUCUAUCAAGGAGCCAUAACUGUAAGUUCAAUAAAAUCUUAAUGGAAUUAACUUGGCUUAGAUUUCUACUUAAUUCUUAAUAAAUAAGAAGAAAAAAUAAAAGAUGGUGUUUUGUCCCAAAUCAUACCUAAGAACUAGUAACUCAGACUCUGUCUCAGAGAAAGAGAGUAGGACAUAAAAACUAGACAUCCUCUGAUUCCUAAGGGAAGACAAAUAAUAAGUAUCCUUUUUAACUUCUCUUAUUUUCUUUCUCCUUCAGCUUUACUACCAUUAUUUUAACAACUGAUCUUAUACUUCUUUCUAUUUUUGAACAAGUACUAUACUAUAGUAAAAUAUUCCUCUGGAGACUGAGAUGGGAAGACAACAUAGAGGUGCUAGGGGUAAAAUAGAAAGUUGAGGAAACCUCUACUUUCACAAUAAUAUUCUCUGUAGAAUUUGGAAAGAAGAAAAUAGUGUUAGGUUUUAGUAAGAAAUGGAGAAAAACAAAUUGGUGUUCAAUUCCUAUUCUUAAAUUUCUACUAAACUCUGAUCUCCUUAGAUGCAAGUUUAGGUAGAGACAUGGGCAAUAAAACUUGCCAACCCCAUUAUGACUAACUUAUGUGCUUUGCGUGCCAUGUUGCAAUAACUGAAUAGCUAUUCAUGUUGUUAAAAUCCAUCCUACUUUUGGGAGUGCUGCUGUGUGUAACACAUCAAAAUUUAAAAAAAAUGAAGUUGUAAUUACAAGACUAAACUUUGUACAUGGAAAAUGGAAAAAAAAUGAUAAUUUACAUGUUCUAUAAUAAAUGAUUCUGUUCUUAUUAGCCUUGAA